rnacentral:rRNA from 1 species
GAUGAACGCUGGCGGCGUGCCUAACACAUGCAAGUCGAACGCUCGCAAGAGAGUGGCGCACGGGUGAGUAACACGUAGCUAAUCUGCCCUCAAGACAAGGAUAACCGUAGGAAACUACUGCUAAUACUUGAUAAGCUUACGGACUGUAGAGGUCUAUAAGAAAGAUUUAUCGCUUGAGGAUGAGGCUGCGCGCCAUCAGCUAGUUGGUAAGGUAAUGGCUUACCAAGGCGACGACGGCUAGGGGACCUGAGAGGGUGACCCCCCACACUGGGACUGAGACACGGCCCAGACUCCUACGGGAGGCAGCAGUGAGGAAUAUUGCUCAAUGGGCGCAAGCCUGAUCCAGCAAUGCCGCGUGAGUGAAGAAGGCCUUCGGUUGUAAAGCUCUUUGUUCUAGGGAAGAAACGGUAGGAAGGGGACGUAAGUUAAU